UCUACGGGUGGCAGCAGUGGGGAAUAUUGGGCAAUGGGCGCAAGCCUGACCCAGCAACGCCGCGUGAAGGAAGAAGGCUUUCGGGUUGUAAACUUCUUUUCUCAGGGACGAAGCAAGUGACGGUACCUGAGGAAUAAGCAACGGCUAACUACGUGCCAGCAGCCGCGGUAAUACGUAGGUGGCAAGCGUUAUCCAGAUUUACUGGGUGUAAAGGGCGUGUAGGCGGGGACGCAAGUCAGAUGUGAAAACCACGGGCUCAACCUGUGCACUGCAUUUGAAACUGGGUUUCUUGAGUACUGGAGUGGCAGACGGAAUUCCUAGUGUAGCGGGGAAAUGCGUAGAUAUUAGGAGGAACACCAGUGGCGAAGGCGGUCUGCUGGACAGCAACUGACGCUGAGGCGCGAAAGCGUGGGGAGCAAACAGGAUUAGAUACCCCUGUAGUC
rnacentral:rRNA from 1 species